GGCCACAUCAAAUUGAAACACUGGAUCCUGUAUGAUCAUCAAAGUUAAACAAUGUCAAGCCAGGUCAUUACCUAGAUGGGUGACUGCUUGAGAAUACCAGGUGCUGUAAG